GACAGAGGUGGCAAGCGUUGUUCGGAAUUACUGGGCUUAAAGGGCGCGUAGGCGGUGGUACAAGUCUGAGGUGGAAUGCCGCAGCUCAACUGCGGAACUGCCUUGGAAACUGUGCUACUUGAGUCGGACAGGGGAAGGCGGAAUUCCUGGUGUAGCGGUGAAAUGCGUAGAUAUCAGGAGGAAGGCCUGUGGUGAAGACGGCCUUCUGGGUCUUGACUGACGCUGAGGCGCGAAAGCGUGGGGAG
rnacentral:rRNA from 1 species